AGAGUUGAUCAUGGCUCAGAUUGAAUGCUGGCGGCAGGCCUAACACAUGCAAGUCGAGCGGUAACAGAAAGUAGCUUGCUACUUUGCUGACGAGCGGCGGACGGGUGAGUAAUGCUUGGGAACAUGCCUUGAGGUGGGGGACAACAGUUGGAAACGACUGCUAAUACCGCAUAAUGUCUACGGACCAAAGGGGGCUUCGGCUCUCGCCUUUAGAUUGGCCCAAGUGGGAUUAGCUAGUUGGUGAGGUAAUGGCUCACCAAGGCGACGAUCCCUAGCUGGUUUGAGAGGAUGAUCAGCCACACUGGGACUGAGACACGGCCCAGACUCCUACGGGAGGCAGCAGUGGGGAAUAUUGCACAAUGGGCGCAAGCCUGAUGCAGCCAUGCCGCGUGUGUGAAGAAGGCCUUCGGGUUGUAAAGCACUUUCAGUCAGGAGGAAAGGUUAGUAGUUAAUACCUGCUAGCUGUGACGUUACUGACAGAAGAAGCACCGGCUAACUCCGUGCCAGCAGCCGCGGUAAUACGGAGGGUGCGAGCGUUAAUCGGAAUUACUGGGCGUAAAGCGUACGCAGGCGGUUUGUUAAGCGAGAUGUGAAAGCCCCGGGCUCAACCUGGGAACUGCAUUUCGAACUGGCAAACUAGAGUGUGAUAGAGGGUGGUAGAAUUUCAGGUGUAGCGGUGAAAUGCGUAGAGAUCUGAAGGAAUACCGAUGGCGAAGGCAGGCACCUGGGUCAACACUUGACGCUCAUGUACGAAAGCGUGGGGAGCAAACGGGAUUAGAUACCCCGGUAGUCCACGCCGUAAACGAUGUCUACUAGAAGCUUCGGAGCUCGGUUCCUGUUUUCAAAGCUAACGCAUUAAGUAGACCGCCUGGGGAGUACGGCCGCAAGCUAAACUCCAAUUGAUUGACGGGGGCCCGACAAGCGGUGAGCUUGUGGUAAUCCGUGCACGCGAAAGACCUACCUACUUGAUUCCGAGAACUUCCAAGAUGUUGGGCUUCGGACCCUGAACGUGUGAUGGUGGC
rnacentral:rRNA from 1 species